UUGGUUCCUAAUGCGCACGCUUUUAUUGAUGGUUUUUAUGUGUUCAUUGCUUUUUAUGGAUUUUACUGCAACGCGGAGGGGUGGAUCUCCUGAACGUCUAUUGACAAUACAAGCGUUGGGUGUUGGCUGUACUUGCUCUCACGAAUUAAACAGUGGUUAGAAAACUUUUUUUUUUUUUUAUCGUUUUUGUCAUUUGCUCAAACACACACUUCACAUAAUACUACACAAAAAGCUGAAACUAUACAAGCAAAGCCCAAAAACCAGUCCCAAAAACACUGAACGCAGGGAUGAACUCGCUCAACCCUGAAAAAAACCUACAUACAACGCAAAUUACAAUGAGGAAUAGGGUGUGUGCUGGAAGGAAGAUCAUUAAAUGGUGGGAAUCAAAUCUUUGCUGGAUGAUCCAUGAUGGUGAAAAUGUUACCCCAUAUGACAGCAUACAGUAGGUAGUAUGGUUUGAGGGACUAUACUGUCUCUUUGGGGGUGGGACUAAAACAACACAAGGAGCCGAAUGUUAUUAGAUGGCUCAACAGUUGACUUUAACUCAUUCAAGUUUCUUGGCACUGUUCUCACCUCAAAUUUUAAAUGGGAUGGACAUCUUUCAAGUAUUAUGAAAAAAGGACAGAAUGUUCUUGCUGCAGCAGCUUAAGAAAUUCAGUCUUCCCAAACCUGUACUGGUUCUGUUCUACAUUGCAGUAGUCGAGUCCAUCCUCACAGUCUCUCUCAUCUGCGUUUAUGAUGCAAUGGCCCAAUCUAAAGACAAGUCACAGACCAUCAUCCAGUCUGCAAAGAAGAUCAUUGGCUGCAACAUCCCCUCAAUCCAGGAAGUGUAUGCAUCCAGAAUGAGGAAGCAAGCUGAGAAGAUCAUUGUUGAAUCCCUUUCAUGUUGUCUACUAGCUGUUCCAAACACUUCCCUCUGGAAAACACUACAGAACCAAAAAUGUGACCUCUGCUUAUAACUUAAAGAGCUUUUUUCCAAAAACAAUAUAUCUUACUAAUCAGAAAUGUUAUAUGCAGUAAUAAAUCACAACGCAAUAAUAGCUCCAUGGUAUUCUUUUAUAUAAUGUGCAAUAUAUUAUAUUGUUUCUGUAUUAUAUCAUGUUGUAUAUUGUGUGUUGCGUACAUUGUGUAUAUCAUGCAGUCUUAAUCCUAUAUACCUCGUAUACAAUUUUUAAAUUCUUUGGCGGUGUUCAAUAUUCAUUAAAUGCACUGGGGAGCAUACCAAGUCAUUUUGGACAAUUCAAUGCUUCCAACUUUGUGGGAACAGUUUGGGGAAGGACCUUUUCUGUUCCAGCAUGACUGUGCCCCAGUGCACGAAGUAAGGUCCAUAAAGACAUGGUUAGGUGAGUUUGGUGUGGAAGAACUUGACUGGCCCACACACAGCUCUGACGUCAACACCAUCAAACACCUUUGGAAUGAACUAGAAUGAACACCGCGAGCCAGGUCUUCACAUCCAGCUUCAGUGCCUGACUUCAUAAAUGCUUUUCUGGGUGAAUGGGCAAAAAUUCCCACAGACACCCUCCAAAAUCUUGUGGAAAGCCUUUCCAGAAGAGUGGCGGCUCUUAUAGCUGCGGAGGGGGGACCUGCUACAUAUUGAAGCCUAUGGAUUUAUGACAUUUCUUGUUUUUCACUGAAGAGACGGUUUCUCUCAUUAUUUGAUGAAGUCUGCAUGGUGAAAAUAGUCACUGUGUCUUCUAGACAUAGAAAAGCCAUUACUACACAAUUAUGCUGUGAGAUUCACCUGCUUUCAUUGUGAAAUGUUCUCGUAAUUCUAAUUACAGCAUGCAGACUCAAACUGGCUGCCCAGCUUCUCGCAUGGUCAUUGACAUAGUUGAUGACACUAAAAUCCACUAAAAUCACUUAUAUCUCACGUGCUGUUUCUGCUGCUCCCUCAUCGACUGCAUAUUUCACUACCUCUUCCCCUCUGCACUCUUUCUUGUUCCGUUUAGUUCCCCCGGCUUUUUGUCUCACAUCUAUUCACUAAAGUAUAUAUAGGGAAUCGAGUGAAUAAUUUUAGUUGUUUGUGUUUGCACAGGUGAUACAGGUUUUUAUUGCAUUAGCUGAUUAUGCUUUGAUGGCUGACUGAGGUGUUUCUCCAAAAGGAACAAUUGAGUUGACCUCACAGUGAUAUCAGUGCUGAUGUAGUGAGAUGUGUGCAGAGAUGUGCAAAAGGAUGCCAGCAUCGCAUGGCCAUGUUGAAACAACAAUAUACAGUACUGUGCAAAAGUCUUAGGCAGCCAAAGAAAAUGGUUUGAAUGGUCUUUAUGUUGGUGUAAAACUGCGCUGUUAUGUCUGUCAAAGUGUGUCAGCUUAGCCAUUUCAAAAUCUGCUAAAAUUACCCCAGUAUUUACAGCAACCAUGCAAUAUACCUCUGUAUUUUUUUACUUGACCACUCACACACUUUGUAUGGCUAAUCAAUAAAAAUUACUUUUAAA